ensembl:snoRNA SNORD24 Small nucleolar RNA SNORD24
UGCAGAUGAUGUGAAACCAAUAUUUGCUGUCUGAUCCUGAAACAGAUGACAAACCACCAAGAUCGCUGAUGCA